UGCGCUUGCUUGUGCGGCUGUGUGUCCGACCUCGCGGACGGACAAGCAAGCGCAUG
rnacentral:pre_miRNA from 1 species